UCGUCCUUAGAACUGUCUCGAUGCCAUGAACGUUGGUCUAAGACAAAGUAAGGAGGUUGUUGGAUUUUCGUUACGACUAUCCCUUUAGCUAUUGACUAUGAUACCACCCCUUUAGCUAUUGACUAUGAUAAUAGAAUCUAGUAUGAUGAUUGUGACUAUGAUAAUAGAAUCUAGUAUGAUGAUUGAUGGAGUAGGUGCUUGCUAUCUUCCUUAGGUAGUAUGAUGUAUUGAUUGAGUAAGGUAGUAUGAUGUAUUGAUCGAGUAGGUGCUAUCUUCCUUAGGUAGUAUGAUGAUUGAUCGAGUAGGUGCUAUCUCCUUAGGUAGUAUGAUGAUUGAUCGAGUAGGUGCUAUCUCCUUAGGCGAGGGUAAGCAAAGCCAGAAGACUCACUCCAAGAGGAAUCGACUGAAAGAAGGAACACUCAGAAAUCCCACACCCCACAUAAGUAACGAGCGGAAGAGGGAAUGCAUGC
rnacentral:lncRNA from 1 species